UGAUCCUGGCUCAGAACGAACGCUGGCGGCAUGCCUAAUACAUGCAAGUCGAACGAGACCUUCGGGUCUAGUGGCGCACGGGUGCGUAACGCGUGGGAAUCUGCCCUUGGGUUCGGAAUAACAUCGGGAAACUGAUGCUAAUACCGGAUGAUGUCGAUAAGACCAAAGAUUUAUCGCCCAGGGAUGAGCCCGCGUAGGAUUAGCUAGUUGGUGGGGUAAAGGCUUACCAAGGCGACGAUCCUUAGCUGGUCUGAGAGGAUGAUCAGCCACACUGGGACUGAGACACGGCCCAGACUCCUACGGGAGGCAGCAGUAGGGAAUAUUGGACAAUGGGCGCAAGCCUGAUCCAGCAAUGCCGCGUGAGUGAUGAAGGCCUUAGGGUUGUAAAGCUCYUUUACCCGGGAUGAUAA
rnacentral:rRNA from 1 species